rnacentral:rRNA from 1 species
UAAUUUAAAGUCUAGCCUGCCCAAUGAUUAUUAAAUGGCCGCGGUAUUUUGACCGUGCUAAGGUAGCAUAAUCAAUAGUUUUUUAAUUGAAAGCUGGAAUGAAGGGUUGGAUAAGAAAAUAACUGUUUUUAUUUAAUUUAAUUAGAAUUUUAUUUUUAAGUUAAAAAGCUUAAAUUUUAUUAAAAGACGAGAAGACCCUAUAGAGUUUUAUAAAUAACUAUAUUAAUAUAUUAAGAAUUUAUUUUAUUAAUAUAUGUAUUUAUUUAAUUGGGGUGAUUGAAAAAUUGAAUUAACUUUUUUUAUAUUAAAACAUUUAUAGAUGAAUAUUUGAUCCAUAAUUCAUGAUUAUAAGAUAAAAUUACCUUAGGGAUAACAGCGUUAUCUUUUUUUAGAGUUCAAAUCGAAAUAAAGGAUUGCGACCUCGAUGUUGGAUUAAAAUUAAUUUUUGGUGUAGAAGCUAAAAUAUUAGGUCUGUUCGACCUUUAAAAUUUUACAU